GCUGAACUGGAAGACAGAAUUUGCAUGAGCCUGGGGCUAGGCUCUGGGCACCAACCUCCGGAUGUCCUCAGGGAUCUGUGAGCAGAGAGGCCUGGCUGCAAAGGGUCUGGAGGACGGCCCUUCUGCUAAGGUGUCCGCUCCCAAGGCAGAGGGCUUGGGGGAGCUGGAGGAGGCUGGGUUCCAGGAGGGGUGGCCAGGUAAGUCCUUGGGCCAGUAGGGAAGAAGUCCAACUGUGUACAAACGUUACCUCUGAGCCACACCACUACCCUGCCAGGAGGUUUGAUGUGGUCCCAUUUUACAGAGGGGAAGACUGAGUCUGAUUUCUUCACUCAACAAGUGCUCACUGAAUGCCUGGGAUGCAGCGGUGAACAAAACCAACAAAAGACCCUGCUUUUAUGGAGUUUAUAAUCUGGUGAAGGAUGGGGAGAGAGCAAGAGACAAUUUCGGGUGCUAAGCACAUGCAGAUGAAGAAAAUAAACCAGGAGGGGUGGGGAGAGGGGCUUAUCUGCACAGGCUCCCUCAGCUGAGACCUGAAUGACAGAAGGGGCUGGUGGGCUGGGGAAGGGCCACUCCCACCAGAGGGAAUGGCGAAUGCUAAGGCCCUGCAGCGGGAGCGACCCUGUGUGUAUGAGGAACAGAAAGGCCAGUAUGGGUGCGCAGUGAUGGGGGAGCAGUCAGUGAUGCAGUCAAGAGGUCGGUGAGGCAAGAUCAGGUAGAGACUCACAGGCCACUUAAAGGAAUUUGGAUUUUGCUUUAAAUGUACCAGGAAUGCGCAUUUUUGAGGGGAGGGGUGGGGAGAGACAGAGAGAGGAGGCUGGGCACAGUGGCUCACAUCUGUAAUCUCAGCACUUUAGGAUGCCAAAGUGGGAGGAUCACUUGAGGUCAGGAAACCAGCCUGGCCAACAUGUCAAAACCCCGUCUCUACCAAAAAUACAAAAAUUAGCCGGGCGUGGUAGUGGGUGGCCUAUAAACCCAUCUACUUGAGAGGCUGGGGCAGGAGAAUCACUUGAGCCCGGGAGGUGGUUGCACUCCAGCCUGCGCAACAGAGGGAGAUUCCAUCUCAAAAAAAAAAAAAGAGAGAGAGAAAGAGAAAGAGAGAGACAUGACCUGAUUUUCGUUUUCAGUAGACGCCCCUGGCCGCCGCGUGGAGACUGGGCUGUGGGGGCAGAGGAGUGGAGAGACUAGCCAGGAGGCUGCAGCUGCGGUUUCACUCUACUCCCCACGGCCCGAUGAGGGGAGACAAAGACAGAACUCAAGGAUGGACUUGGUUUGGGACUUGAGCGACUGGGUCCAUGCAGGUGUCCUUGCCUGAGGCAAGGAUGGUUUGAGCCAGGGCACCCAGCCGGAGCUGGCUAGACUCCCUUUCUCCCGUGCCGCCCACCCCACAGAAGGCCCGGAGCGUUCAUGCUGGCAUUCAGGGACCUCCACACCCCUCCCUCCUCUUGCCUCUCCAUUUUGACCUCACGCUGCUCCCCAUGGCCACAGAGCUCUUGUCUCUCUCUCCUGACAUGCCAUGCUCAGUCCCAGCUCCAGACCUUUGCUCACGCUGCUCCUGCCUGAGGGCCCUUCCUCCUCCCUUGGCCUGAGUGGAGGCCUGAGAAGGGCUUUAUAGAGCAGUGGCUCUCAAGCUAGCACCUGCCUGGAUUUGAAUUCCAGCACGACCACCUCCUAGCAUGUGAUCCUAAGCACGUUCCUUAACAGGACUCAAUUUCUUCAUCUGCCAAGUAAGAGUGAAAAUAUAAGUGCUGACCAUGUGGGGUAGUUGCAGGAUUAAAGAAGAAGCACUCAUUCGUUUCACUCUGGGAACAAGAGAAAUGUCAACCUGGUUAGCCAGUGUUACUUCCUAGUGGCACAGAAAUGGCAUGAGGGACUGGGCACGGGGGCCCACGCCUGUAAUCCCAGCACUUUGGGAGGCUGAGGUGGGAGGAUUACUUGAGCUCAGGAAUUCGAGACCAGCCUGGGCAACACAGGGAAACCCUGUUUCUAGAAAAAAUUAAAAAAUUAGCCAGGUGUGGUGGUGCACACCUGUGGUCCCAGCUACUCUGGAGGCUGAGGUGGGAGGAUCACUUGAGCCUGAGAGGUUGAAGCUGCAGUAAGUGGUGAUUGCACCACUGCACUCCACCUGGGCAACACAGCAAGACCCUGUCUCAAAAAAUAAAAUAUAAAAUAAAAAAUUUUUUAAAGCCUGGAGAA
rnacentral:lncRNA from 1 species